CGAGCAGCUGGGCGCAGGCGCUGGAGCGGGGGCCUCAGCUUCUGCCCCGGCUGCGGCGGGAGGAGGCGGUGCCUGCGGGAGCGAAGGGGGCGGGUCAGGGGCUGCGGGCUUUCUCCCGCUGCAUUAUCCCUGGCCCACCGCCUCCCUCUGCAGGUGCGGCGGCUGGUUCGUAUCGCCUACCCACCCGCCCCCGCUCCCGUUUUUGUGUCUCUCGAUGUCUUUCUAUCCCCUUUCUCUGAGUAUUUAUUUGUCCCCUCGUCUCUGCCCUCGCCCCGCUGAGACUCUGGACCCUCUUUUCUAAGUCUCUACCCUCCCUCCGGGUCUCUGUCCCAUUGUUCUCUGAAUCUGUUCCCCUCCUUCUGAGUCUUUACUCCCUUCUCCCUAAGGUUCAGUCUCCUCUCCCCCAACUGUGUCUCCGUCCCCCCACCCCCAGUCUCUUUCUCCUGGUCUCUGUAGCUUAUUCUCGGGGAUUUGCCUCUCUCUCUCUGGGCCUCUGCCCCCUCCCGGUCUCUGUCUCUUCUCUUUGUGUCUCUGUCCUCCACUCCCUCUCUGGGGCGCUGUCCUCCUUGCCCUAGGCCCUUGUCUUCCUCUCCCUGGGUCUCUGUGCCCUCCAGGUCUCUGUCCCUCUUCUUUGUGUCUCUGUCCUCCACUCCCCUCUCCCAGCCUGUACCCCCCACCCCCCGUCUCUAUCCAUUCAUCUGCAUCUCUGUCCCCCUUGCUCUUGUUCUCUGACGACCUCUCUGUCAGUAUCUUUUUCCUCUCCUCCGUCUCUCUCCCUCCUCUGUAAGUGCCUUUUCUCUUUCUCUCCUUUUUCUCUCUGUCACCCUAUGCGGGUCUCUAUCCCCACUCCCCGUGCCUCUUUCAUCCCCUUAUGAGGCUCUCUCUCCACUUCUCUGGGACUUUGUCCCGCUGUCCUUUGGUCUCUGUCCCUCCAUCACCCCCUCUAACCCCCAUCCUGGCCAGGACCCGAGGCUGCGUCACUGCGGAGAGAGUUGCAGAAGUGGAGCCUGUCCUGCAGACCAAGGAGGUAUUUCCUUCACCCCCCCCCCCCCCCAGACCUUGGGCGGUACUCAAGACCCCGAUGGGGCCCAGGAAGGCAGAGAAAAGACAUCAAAACUUCCUACUCUUCUCUACCCUGAAUUCCGGUGUAUCCCCAGGCAGAAGCAGUGAAUCCUGAGCAGCCAGGCACGGGAUCCAGUUACCAAAUCAGCGUUUUUGCAGAGGCGCCCCUCCCCUGCCUGCCACCGCUCCUGCCCCGUCUCCACUUCUCCACGUGGAUGUUCCCCAAGGCUGCUCCCGAGACCUCUUCUCUCUCCCAGAGACGGCUGCCCUCCAAGGCUCUGAGUACCAUCUGAUGGUCUCAUGGGUCAGAGGUGGCAGGCUUCCUGAUUUGGCUGAGAAGGGCGGGGAUUCCUGGAGGUGUGGCAGGAGAGGACCCCUCCGGAGGUAAGUGGAGCUUCCCGAGUGGGUGGGACCUGCUCAGGCGUAGGAUUUUAUGACUGUGGGGGACGGACCUCCAGAGGGAAGGUGGGGCCUUCCUGGAUGGUGGGUGGGGCUUUCUGAGCGUAAAGUUGAGCUUCCUAAAAGAUAGGUGGGACUUCUUCGAUUACAAUGGGUAGCUUGGGACUUCUGGAAUGUAUUCUCAAAUGGAAUUUGGGCUUUGUGUGCGGGGAAGAGGGAGUUCCUAAGUUGAGUAGGUAAGGCACGGAGUAUCCUGGUUUGGGUUUGAAACAUGAAGCAUUUAAAGUGACAGUGAGUGCUUGUAGUAGGUCUUAAGGUUGCUCGGUGAGUGGGACUUUUUGAGCACGUGUUAUUUAUAUUGGGUAGGUGACUUCCUGAGUGGAAGAUGAGACUUCCUUUAUUGGACAUGGGACUUCUGAAAGCAGACAGAACAUCUUUCUUGGGGCUAGGACUCAUAGGAAGGUAGACCCUCGCCCAUUACCUGUUGAGGUAGAAGGAGAAGACAGGCUUAUCCAGUAGCCCCUGGUCCACCAGUACAUCCAGUGGGGGUCGGACCCCUCCCACGGCCAGAACGGGGAAAGCAAGGCCCAGUAUCCCAUCGAAGCGGGCAAAAGUGAACACCAGGCUGGGCUCCCACAGAGCCUCUCCAAAAAUCACUGAUGCAUUCAUAAUUCCUCCAAUCUACGGAUAGAUUCAAAUGGGGCAGGUUACUUCUUGAAGGACAUAACCUACAUCACCCUGAAAUGUUCCAAACCAAGGCAUGAAU